rnacentral:rRNA from 1 species
GCGCGAAAACUUUACAAUGCAGGCAACUGUGAUAAGGGAACCCCGAGUGCCCGUAUGGACGGGCUGUUCAGGUGCUUAAAAACCACCUGGAGAAAGGGCCGGGCAAGACCGGUGCCAGCCGCCGCGGUAAUACCGGCGGCUCGAGUGGUGGCCACUAUUACUGGGCUUAAAGCGUCCGUAGCUUGGUCGUUAAGCCUCUGGGGAAAUCUUCCGGCUCAACCGGAAGGCGUCUCAGGGGAACUGGCGGCCUAGGGAUCGGGAGAGGUGAGAGGUACUCUGGGGGUAGGAGUGAAAUCCUGUAAUCCUCAGGGGACCACCUGUGGCGAAGGCGUCUCACCAGAACGACUCCGACAGUGAGGGACGAAAGCUGGGGGAGCAAACCGGAUUAGAUACCCGGGUAGUCCCAGCCGUAAACGAUGCGCGUUAGGUGUAUCGGUGACCACGAGUUACCGAGGUGCCGAAGGGAAACCGUGAAACGCGCCGCCUGGGAAGUACGGUCGCAAGGCUGAAACU